UGCCUACGGGCGGCUGCAGUGGGGAAUAUUGGACAAUGGGCGAAAGCCUGAUCCAGCAAUGCCGCGUGAAUGAUGAAGGCCUUAGGGUUGUAAAGUUCUUUCGGGUGGGACGAUGAUGACGGUACCACCAGAAGAAGCCCCGGCUAACUUCGUGCCAGCAGCCGCGGUAAUACGAAGGGGGCUAGCGUUGUUCGGAAUUACUGGGCGUAAAGCGCACGCAGGCGGCUCGUUAAAGUAGAAGUGAAAGCCCUGGGCUCAACCCGGGAAGUGCUUUUGAGACUGGCGAGCUUGAAUCCAGAAGAGGGUAGUGGAAUUCCAAGUGUAGAGGUGAAAUUCGUAGAUAUUUGGAAGAACACCAGUGGCGAAGGCGACUACCUGGUCUGGCAUUGACGCUCAUGUGCGAAAGCGUGGGGAGCAAACAGGAUUAGAUACCCGAGUAGUCG
rnacentral:rRNA from 1 species